rnacentral:miRNA from 1 species
UGUUUGUAUAGUGUGUGUAUAUAAUGCAGUGUGUUUGUGUAGUGUGCAUUAUAUAAACACACUACACAAACACACUGCAUUAUAUACACACACUAUACAAAC